UCUGUAGAGCGCUGGCGGCUUCCAAUGCCUGUUCCUCUGCGGGGGUGGAGUGGACCAAUUCAGCCGGACAGGGGGGGGGGGCGAGUUCUGGCCUAGAUCGGUUGCCUGGGAAACCAGACGGCGCCGCCGACAUCAGCUCCCCUUGUCUUCGGGUGGGAUUGAGGCGAGGCCGCGGAGACUGGAGCCGGGAUUUGCCUGGGGGUAUGUGAGAACGGCCGAUACGAUGACCACCGUACGCCACAGGAAGAGGAUUAACGCCUCCGAGCCGAAUGCCAACAACUCGCAGGGGCAGAAAAGUUCAAGGGAGAACGCUAAAGGGAUUUCCGGAGGCGGGACAUGGAAUAUUCUGAGUUAUCUCAUUGGUGGGAUGCUGGCUUUGUUCCUGGGACUACUUGCCGCAUAUUACGUCGCCACCCUCCAUGAGAAUGACCUGUGGUUCUCCAAUAUUAAGGAUGUGGAGAGAGAAAUCUCAUUCAGGACGGAGUGCGGAUUGUAUUAUUCUUACUAUAAGCAAGUCCUCUACGCCCCGACCCUCGCUCAAGGAAUCACUGAUUUAAUCUAUGACAACAGAACAGAGGCCAUGAGGACCAUCAAUAUUCUGGAGAGGAUGAAUGUGUACCAGGAGCUUUUCCUGGCCGUCAUCUACAGGACCUUCAAUCUUUGGAGCCUGCUGGAUUCCGUCUAUUUCUACAUCUAUACGCUGUUCGGGCUGCAGGCGCUGUACGUGGCGGCUCUGUAUAUUAACAGCUGGCUGCUCAGCGGGACUUGGCUUUCUGGAUCAUUAGCGGCUCUAUGGUACAUUGUUAACAGAAUUGACACAACGCGGGUAGAAUUCACCAUUCCUCUGAGAGAGAACUGGGCUCUGCCUUUCUUUGCUGUUCAGAUUGCCACCAUCACCUAUUUCUUUAGACCGGACCUGACCAGAGUGAAGGAGAGACUCUCCCUUCUCGUCGUGUUCAUUUCCACAUUCCUCUUCAGUCUCACCUGGCAGUUCAACCAGUUUGUGUUACUCCUGCAAAGUCUGGUGCUGUUUGCCCUGGACUGCCUGGACUUGGUUCCAAGCCGCAAGGUGAGAAGCCUGUACAUGAUUCAGGCCUCCAGUCUUCUCCUGGUGUGUCUCCUGCAGUUCAUCAAUACCAUGAUUCUGGGCUCCCUGCUUCUCAGCUUCAUCCUGGCCGCCAUUAUCGCCCAGAGAUUGCAGAAAAACCUUCGAAGUGGCAGUCUGCUGAGGAGACUCUGGAACAUCGGCAUCCAUGUAGUGAUCGUUCUGCUCCUUGCUACAAUCAUUAAUAAGUGUGUUAAGAAAAUCCUGAAUCUGCAGUCAGACGAACACAUUUUUAAGUUCAUAGAAGCAAAACUGGGUUUUAAAACCAGAGAUUUCGAUGCCAAUCUCUAUCUGUGCGAGGAGCCCUUCCAGAUGCUGCCAUCGGACACGUUUGAGAGACUCGCCGACUCGUUACUUCUCCACCCCUUUCUAUUUGUUCUUUCCUUCCUGAUCGUUGCAGCGUCGAUCGUCACGUUCCGCAGAUUGAGCAUCUCCUCCGGCAACAAACAGAAGCAAUGGAGUGAAGAUCGAUCGUCCCUCGUCCGAGCCGACGUCGCCUAUAAUUUAGUACAUAACGUGAUGUUCGGUUGCCUGGCUAUCAGCACAAUGCGAAUGAAGUAUCUCUGGACAUCCCACAUGUGUGUCUUGGCUUCUUUCGGAGUCGCCAGUAAGGACAUUUGGGGAAUUUUGCUGCGAUUGGUCCGGUUCUACACACCCCAGAGGGCCAAUGGGAUUCGAUAUUUGGUGUCAUUGAUUCUGCUCGUUUCCGUCGUCCUAAAGUUCUGGCCAAGAAUUCUCCAGGAGCUUUCGGAACUGCGGGAGUUUUAUGAUCCUGACACUGUGCAGUUAAUGAGCUGGAUCAAGUCAAACACCCCGAAAAAUGCUGUAUUUGCAGGCAGUAUGCAGCUCCUGGCGGGGGUGAAGCUUUGCACUGGGAGAGUUCUGACCAAUCACCCGCAUUAUGAGGACAAGACCCUCAGGGACAGGACCAAACAGGUGUAUCAGGUGUAUGCGAAGAGAGCCCCGGAAGAUGUACACGGCGUACUGAGGUCGUUCGGCACGGACUACGUCAUAUUAGAGGACAGUAUAUGUUAUGAGAGGAGACACGGGAGAGGAUGUCGUCUACGAGAUCUGCUGGAUAUCAACAAUGACCAUACAAUGGAUGGUCCCGGGGACAACGACCCCGAUUUGAGGCCUUCUCCCUUCCCCCGCUUCUGCGAUGAAAUAAAGAAAGAUUCUCCGGCCUACACAAAGUAUUUCACAAGGGUCUUCAAGAACAGAACUUUCAAUGUUUACAGAUUGUUACGUAAAGCCACCGCGAAGUAAGCGAAAUCUGGCGGACGGGACAGAAUUUUGUUGUUCUAGUGUCUCUUCUUAUUGGUCAACGCCGACUGCCCCCCGCGGAGUGGAAGGGGGGCUCUUCUUGCCUCCAGACGGGUUCAUUUCAACUUGGCCACAACGGUUGUUUUUCAGUUGUGACUUUCUAGUAGUGUUUUAAUGGAAGGUAAGGUACAUUUUAGGUGAAUGGAGGACUAAGUUUGACACGUGAACUGUCCAGUCACUUUUUGUUUUGUUACAAUUAUCCUUGUUUUACAAAGACUUGUGUCACGUGACGGCAAAACAGCAUUUCCCAUAAUGCUUCACUAGCUUCGGAGAUCAUGUUCUUCAGGAGUAACAACAGCAAGGUUCAGUAACCCCCGGGCUGUUGGUUUUCAGCUUCUGAAUGUUGGUUUGCCUGAUCUUGGGGUGGAAGUUUUGGCUGAAGAAAUUUUGGCCUAGGUAAUUUUUACCAUGUGCGUAAAUUCUGGCCUAGGUCAUUUUUACUGUGUGCGAAAAUUUUGGCCUAGGUCAUUUUUACUGUGUGUGUAAAUUUUGGCCUAGGUCAUUUUUACUGUGUGCGUAAAUUUUGGCCUAGGUCAUUUUUACUGUGUGCGUAAAUUUUGGCCUAGGUCAUUUUUACUGUGUGCGUAAAUUUUGGCCCAGGUCAUUUUUACUGUGUGCAAGAAAUUUUGGUCUAGGUCAUUUUUACUGUGUGCAUUUUUACUGUGUUAUUCUUUUCACAUGCAAAUUAGGCUAAAAAUAAGUUUAUCAAUUCCCAAAAGAGUACUAGUCACUUGCUGUCCCUUAACCUAGAUCUAACCCCAUAAACCUAACCCCAUAACUAUAGAGGAGGACCUGUGCUAUGGAAGGACUAGUCACAAGUAUUGUCUGUGGUCUCAUUGCUGCUGAUCUUUUCCCAAUUACUGGCUUAAAGUGGAACUAAACCUUCCCAUCGUUUUCAGCUGCCAUCUUGGCCUCUUGGCUGAUCUUCAACCUUGCACUGCAGCUCCUCAGGUACAACUUCCUCUCCAGCAAGGAGAACCGCGAGCAGCACAGCAGUGACAUCAUCAAACCUGGCGAGACUAGAGGUCAGAGGCAGCCUUGCCUUAGAUGAUCUCGCACUGCAGAGGAUGUAGGCACAGGAAGUGCAUUGCUAUUUUUUUUUUAGUAGGAAUUUAGAACAAAAAAUAGAUUUUUCAGGGUAUUGCUUCAAGCACAAUUCACAUUUCUGUAUGUUCCCUAUUGCAUAGCAAACCUUCACUCUUUGAGUUUAGAGCCGCUUUACCCCAACAUGAAAUGUAUUGUGUCACGUGUUUCUUUUUCAUGCUGGAAAUGUCUGUUUUGCUAAUGUGCCGACUACAAAAAAUCUGUGCCAAAAUCAGGCAACCUUCAGAAAUCCAUAGAAACUCGUCUCUCUGUCCCGACUCCAGACUGACGGAAGUUGAGGGGAUUUCGGUUGCUAUGGGUUCCUGCACUUUGAUGCUCUGAUCGUGUUUAAGCACUUGAAGUUUUGGAAUACGACAUUUUGUGCCAAAUAUUUUUAAAUUUCCGUGUCACUGUGCACCGUGAAUGGUGAAGUAUUAUUCUAAAUUCUAUUUCGAUGAAGAUUCGUUUCUCAUAGAACUGAAAAUGUCUCCACCUUUGUCACUGGAGAAGGUGCAUUGUCUCUUAGAAGAGGUAUACAUGGGCUUCAAGAGGGGGCGCUAUCAAGCGAACCGGGGGCAAACAGCUCCUUGAAGCAUAUACCGUAUUUUUCGGACCAUAAGACGCACCUAGGUUUUAGAGGAGAAAAAUGGGAAAAAAAAAAGAUUCUGACCCAAAUAUGUACUGAAAAUAUUUAAGAAUAUUAACAGAAUUCAGUUAAAUUUCAGUAUUCUGUAAAUUUAUGACACUGGCGUAUACCGUAUGCUGUACAGAUGCUGUUUACAAAUGCUGUGAGGGAGCGACCAAUGAGGUGACUCUAUAUUGGUCAGCUGACUCAGGAGAGCGUCAGUGCAUAGAGCAAUACGACGUGACGUUGUGUGGGCGUAUCUCCGCGCAAAGCUUCCUGGGACUUCUUCGUAGGCCGUCCACUCUCCGUACCUCCAUGCUGCCUGCUCUCCGUACCUCCAUGCCGCCCGCUCUCCGUACCUCCAUGCCGCCCGCUCUCCGUACCUCCAUGCUGCCUGCUCUCCGUACCUCCAUGCCGCCUGCUCUCCGUGCCUCCAUGCCGCCCGCUCUCCGUGCCUCUCGCUAUUCUGCCAUGUCGCCGUGCAGCACGCUAUUCCGCCAUGUCGCUGUGCCGCCCUGCCGCUAAUUCCGCCAUGGACCAGCCUGAGCCUGAUGGCGCCCGCUGAUUAACCCGCUGAUGGUGCCCCGGCUGCCUGCCUGUGCAUUCAGUAUUCGGACUAUAAGACGCAGGGGCAUUUUCCCCCAUACAUUUGGGGGGGGGGGGGGAGUGCGUCUUAUGGUCCGAAAAAUACGGUACUUCAUUGUGCCAUAGUCUAAUAAUAAAAUGGUCUGCAGGGAUCAGGCCACCCCAGGCUUGGCAGGCCGGGUGACUAAACAGUGCCCCCCCCCUGAAACUUUCCCUACCGGGAUUGCACUGGCAGCACUGAGCGCCUUGUAUAUCAAAGCGAGUUUUCACAUUGAUGUCAAUGGAAACGAAAAUAAUUAGUUCCGCAUUGACUUCAAUGGCAUGCAGUACCGCAUGCAGCCAGAGGUGGGGAGCACCGGAGAGCCUCGGGAACACACGGAAAGGUCUGAGGACAGCUCAAAUGACCUCGGAAAGGCUUAGUAACGGCGUAUUUCCGAACAGCGCCGAUCGGCGUCGUUUGGCUCCCUUUAACCCCUCCUGCUCUCCAUCAUGUUUUUUUGCUAGUGUCCUAAUGAGUGAGGACAUCUCACUCUGAGAGCAGCAAACCGAUUUUUUUUUUUUUUCUUGCAUUUUAGCGAGGGUCAGAUUUUGGCCAUGUAAUUGGCACCAGAGGAAGUGGUGUCGCCCUGCUGGCAUGGUUUGUGUAAAUCACAAACAUUGCCCAACACAAUCUCACAUUUCACAUAUCUAUAUAUCGGGCUGUUUGGAUAGAGUUCAAACUUGUCAAGAUGGCCAUUUACCUGCCACAUAAAUUUGGUGUCUGUCAUUGCUGACUCCUGGGAGAGGUGCCAGUUGCAGAGCAUUUCUCUGCAGUAUCACGUCACGUGACACCCUAUCUUUAGAACUGGCACUUCUUCUGGGGGUCAAGCAGUGGCAGCCACCACUCCGGGUGACAGUCUUGGUUGUGCCAGGCAACAGCCAUUCUGACAGGUUCACUUUGAUAUAAUACCAUGCAUUCGUUCUCCGUGAAAAGUCACAGCGAGCCACUAAGAACAAUUGUCUACAGGGGGGGAAAAAAUGAUAUCAAAUCGGAUGUCUUGAUUUCUAGC